rnacentral:rRNA from 1 species
AUUGAACGCUGGCGGCAGGCCUAACACAUGCAAGUCGAGCGGAUGAAGGGAGCUUGCUCCUGGAUUCAGCGUCGGACGGGUGAGUAAUGCCUAGGAAUCUGCCUGGUAGGGGGGGAUAACGUCCGGAAACGGGCGCUAAUACCGCAUACGUCCUGAGGGAGAAAGUGGGGGAUCUUCGGACCUCACGCUAUCAGAUGAGCCUAGGUCGGAUUAGCUAGUUGGUGGGGUAAAGGCCUACCAAGGCGACGAUCCGUAACUGGUCUGAGAGGAUGAUCAGUCACACUGGAGCUGAGACACGGUCCAGACUCCUACGGGAGGCAGCAGUGGGGAAUAUGGGACAAUGGGCGAGAGCCUGAUCCAGCCAUGCCGAGUGUGUGAAGAAGGUCUUCGGAUUGUAAAGCACUUUAAGUUGGGAGGAAGGGCAGUAAGUUAAUACCUUGCUGUUUUGACGUUACCAACAGAAUAAGCACCGGCUAACUUCGUG